rnacentral:rRNA from 1 species
CCUACGGGGGGCAGCAGUGAGGAAUAUUGGUCAAUGGACGAGAGUCUGAACCAGCCAAGUAGCGUGAAGGAUGACUGCCCUAUGGGUUGUAAACUUCUUUUAUAUGGGAAUAAAAUGUUCCACGUGUGGGAUUUUGUAUGUACCAUAUGAAUAAGGAUCGGCUAACUCCGUGCCAGCAGCCGCGGUAAUACGGAGGAUCCGAGCGUUAUCCGGAUUUAUUGGGUUUAAAGGGAGCGUAGGUGGAUUGUUAAGUCAGUUGUGAAAGUUUGCGGCUCAACCGUAAAAUUGCAGUUGAAACUGGCAGUCUUGAGUACAGUAGAAGUGUGCGGAAUGCGUGGUGUAGCGGUGAAAUGCUUAGAUAUCACGAAGAACUCCGAUUGCGAAGGCAGUUCACUGGACUGCAACUGACACUGAGGCUCGAAAGUGUGGGUAUCAAACAGGAUUAGAUACCCUGGUAGUC